rnacentral:tRNA from 1 species
UCUCUGGUGGCUCAGCUGGUAAAGCAUCUGCCUGCAAUGUAGGAGACCUGGGUUCAAUCCCUGGGUUGGGAA